GGAAGGGCCCUCUUUUUCCCCUCCGCUCCUGCUCCAGUGACAAGAUGUGAUCCACUGACAAGGAGGUAUGCCAAUAACGUGUCCGGUUAACUUCUUGAGAAAUAAUGUGCAUGGCUAACAAAAGUGUCAUUUAAAAUAAUUAAGAAAAUUUUGUGUGGGCCUACUGCAAGAAAUAAAUAACUUUAAAGAGUAAAAAAAAAUAAGAAAGAAAGAACAAAAAGACAACUUGAUAAUGAGAUAAUAAUACACACUGUGUGAAAGCCAGUUAAUUGAAGGUUUGUCAUGACCAGUGAGUGCUAUUUGUAAAUCUUCUUGAGGAAAUAAUAGCCUGCUAAAAGAAGAGAAAUAAUCAAGGGGAAGAGACUGCAGAGAAGAACAAAUUAGCAUACUUUUGAUCUAUGCAUUGUCAAAACAUAAUGGUCCUUCUUAGCUCAUAACGGAAGGGAGCCUAUGUAAGUGGACAGGUUAAUUUAAUAAAAGUAUCACUCCAAAUUUCUAUAUAUUUCCUAGUUAAGCUUUGCCUGUGUGCAUCAGGUCAUUUUCCCUUCUUGACAGUUGCUAAGACUUUCAGUUUUGAAGCUGCAUUCAUUGAGAGAGGCCUCAUAUUCACAGGACUAUGAAUUCCAAAGUGGAGAUUUUCCAGUAAUGCAUGCCAUAGUGAAAAAGAGCUGGAGCAGCUAGUGAGUUAGUUUCUAUGAACUUAUGCUGAUUUCUUUGCAUAAAUAUCAAACAUUGUGAAAAAGCAAAUAAAAAAAAAGAAAGUAAGUAAGCAUUACUUGUCAUAGGAAUUAUGUCUCCUAUAUUGUGGAAAUGUAAGAGUACUGUCCAUUUCAUUUCUUCCAGAAAGGUUUGUGAGUUCCCUGUUAGAAUGUGUGUGUGUGUGUGUGUGUGUGUGUGUGUGUGUGUGUGUGUUAUCUGUCUCAUAUAUUAUAGGCCAGUAAUGGAACAGAUUGCAGAGAUUUUUUUAAAUAGUAUCCUCAAAUCUUUGACUACAUUUUUAUUUGUUCUAGAAUACAAUUACAAAUAGUCAUACUUCAGAUGGUGAAGUGACUUGUUUCAAGGAAAACAAGAAUACUACAACAAACAUCAGAUGACUCCAGCUUCCUGGAAACUGACAUCAUAAAAUGCUGUGUUUAGACUCCAUUUGCAAUAAUGUAGGACAAUGGCUGUGAUCCUGGCAAAUCAGAGUUUGCUCAGAAACAAACCCAAAGCUAAGAAGACAUGUCUACCCUUUCACUUUGGGAUCAUUUCUUAGCUUCAAGUUCCAAGAACAUCCUUUGUAUGUCUUUGUCUCUUAUCGAAGGAUGAUUGGAAACCAGUUGUGGGAAAUAUUUUCGGUUUAAUAUCACUAAGAAUUGUUUAGGUGUCAAAUUUUUAUUAAUUCAAAGAUCUGAAAUAUAAGAACUGACUCAAAUCUGA
rnacentral:lncRNA from 1 species